GCGGCAGUAGGUUUAAGUGUAGACUGUGGGGUUUCCAACCCCGGUGUGUGUUCAGAUACCUACCGCUC
rnacentral:tRNA from 1 species